UAACAUCCGCAGCUGGCCGCCCCCCCCCCCCAGGCUGGGCGAGUAUCUCUUCGAAAGGCUCACCUUCAAGCACAACUAGGAGC
rnacentral:pre_miRNA from 1 species